AGAGUUUGAUCCUGGCUCAGGACGAACGCUGGCGGCGUGCUUAACACAUGCAAGUCGAACGGAAAGGCCCUUCGGGGUACUCGAGUGGCGAACGGGUGAGUAACACGUGGGUGAUCUGCCCUGCACUCUGGGAUAAGCCUGGGAAACUGGGUCUAAUACCGGAUAGGACCGCAUGCUUCAUGGUGUGUGGUGCAAAGCUUUUGCGGUGUGGGAUGAGCCCGCGGCCUAUCAGCUUGUUGGUGGGGUAAUGGCCUACCAAGGCGACGACGGGUAGCCGGCCUGAGAGGGUGACCGGCCACACUGGGACUGAGAUACGGCCCAGACUCCUACGGGAGGCAGCAGUGGGGAAUAUUGCACAAUGGGCGCAAGCCUGAUGCAGCGACGCCGCGUGAGGGAUGACGGCCUUCGGGUUGUAAACCUCUUUCAGUAGGGACGAAGCGAAAGUGACGGUACCUACAGAAGAAGGACCGGCCAACUACGUGCCAGCAGCCGCGGUAAUACGUAGGGUCCGAGCGUUGUCCGGAAUUACUGGGCGUAAAGAGCUCGUAGGUGGUUUGUCGCGUUGUUCGUGAAAACUCACAGCUUAACUGUGGGCGUGCGGGCGAUACGGGCAGACUAGAGUACUGCAGGGGAGACUGGAAUUCCUGGUGUAGCGGUGGAAUGCGCAGAUAUCAGGAGGAACACCGGUGGCGAAGGCGGGUCUCUGGGCAGUAACUGACGCUGAGGAGCGAAAGCGUGGGGAGCGAACAGGAUUAGAUACCCUGGUAGUCC
rnacentral:rRNA from 1 species